UAAUACGAAGGGGGCUAGCGUUGCUCGGAAUCACUGGGCGUAAAGGGCGCGUAGGCGGAUCUUUAAGUCGGGGGUGAAAGCCCAGGGCUCAACCCUGGAAUUGCCUUCGAUACUGGAGAUCUCGAGACCGGAAGAGGUAAGUGGAACUGCGAGUGUAGAGGUGAAAUUCGUAGAUAUUCGCAAGAACACCAGUGGCGAAGGCGGCUUACUGGUCCGGUUCUGACGCUGAGGCGCGAAAGCGUGGGGAGCAAACAG
rnacentral:rRNA from 1 species